rnacentral:rRNA from 1 species
UCUGCCCGCUGGCGGCGUGCCUAAUACAUGCAAGUCGAGCGAACAGAUGAGGAGCUUGCUCCUCUGACGUUAGCGGCGGACGGGUGAGUAACACGUGGAUAACCUACCUAUAAGACUGGGAUAAAUUCGGGAAACCGGAGCUAAUACCGGAUAAUAUAUUGAACCGCAUGGUUCAAUAGUGAAAGACGGUUUUGCUGUCACUUAUAGAUGGAUCCGCGCCGCAUUAGCUAGUUGGUAAGGUAACGGCUUACCAAGGCAACGAUGCGUAGCCGACCUGAGAGGGUGAUCGGCCACACUGGAACUGAGACACGGUCCAGACUCCUACGGGAGGCAGCAGUAGGGAAUCUUCCGCAAUGGGCGAAAGCCUGACGGAGCAACGCCGCGUGAGUGAUGAAGGUCUUCGGAUCGUAAAACUCUGUUAUUAGGGAAGAACAAAUGUGUAAGUAACUAUGCACGUCUUGACGGUACCUAAUCAGAAAGCCACGGCUAACUACGUG